rnacentral:lncRNA from 1 species
UGGUGAGGCAGGGGUUGGGAAGACGCGGCUGCCUUCAGGCUUGUGCCUCCCUUUGGCAGUAGCUACCGCGAGCUGAGACCGAGACCCCAACGGCUGCUCAGAUACAGUUUUAACUUAUUUCUUCAGCAAAACUAUGGAUUUAGAAAAGUACUGAGGAAGGCUGAACCUUGAAAUUUAAACAGUGUCAAGCUGAGAAGCAUACAAGACAAGUGCCUUGAUCUUGUCCCUGGAGGAAACGCUUGUGUGCUUUCGUCCCCCUAGCUUAUAGGAUCUCUCGAGAAGCCUUUUUUUCUUCUCUACUGGAUUCACAGGCUGUGUAUUUGGAUCAGAUAUUCGGCAUUGUGAAUCACUGAAAUCCAGGGUGCAGAGUUAUUUUGAAGGCAUAAAAGCUAACUUGUUGGAUAGCAAACAAUGACAAAACGAAGGAUACCUCAGAAAGGAAAUU